rnacentral:lncRNA from 1 species
GCUUAAAACAUAUGAAGUUUACUUAAUACAUAAAUUAUCUACAGGAUCAUGUUAAUUUGGUCAGAUCUGUCCGUUCUUUUCUUAUCUGCAUGGUUAUUUUUUUUCAUCUAAUUAUUUGUUAAAUGCAUGCAUCGAAUCGAGAGAGAAAAAUUCGGUCGUAUAUGUCAGUUUCCUUCUUUUUUUGACAUUUAUUUGAAAGAAUAUGUGCGUCUUUGAUUUGUAUGAAAUAUUUGCCACUGCAUUUAAUCCAAAAUAUUUUAAUCAAUGAAAACUUUUGUCAUUUUAUGUCUUCUUUGAAAAGACAUAAGAUAUAGAAAAGAUGUGGUAUGAGUGCCAAUGAGACAACUCUCCACCCAAGUCACAAUUUGAAAAAGAAAAACCAUUAUCAUACUAUUAGGUCAAAGUACGGUAUUGU